rnacentral:miRNA from 1 species
UCGUGUUUAUGACGUUUAUGACGUCGAAUAUCGACGUCAUAAACACCAAACUUGAUGAUGUUUAUGACGUCGAUAUUCGACGUCAUAAACACCAAAC